GCCAUAUGACAGUGAAACAUCGGUUGUCAUACGAUGACCGAAGUUAAACAACGUCGAGCGAGGUCAGUAUUUAGAUGAGUUACCACUUGGGAAUGUUGGUGCUGGA